AAUAGUCCUGGUGCUUUUUGUCUUACUACUUGCAGAAGCAGAUCUUCUAUUUUGUGCUGUUUUCUAAUAAAUUCACAUUUUAGAGAAGGCUAUUGGGUAAAGCCUGUUCCAAAGGAGCAGAAGCCACUCAAACUUCAGGAAAGUAUUCAUCCAGCUGGAGCACAACAUUUCCACAAGUAAAACAUGUACAUCACAGAAGCUCUUAAGAGAAGCUUAAUCUUUUUUGCUCUGUCUUUAAGGUUCCAUUCAAUUUUCCCCUUCCUGAAGCUAACCACAGGAACUCUAAUGCUCUGUUUUUGAUAAUUAAACUAUUUCAAUGCCAAGUCAUGAUAGCCCCUAAAAAACAGCUCCCUUUACCAGAGCUCCACUUUAAUGCUCACUUUAAAUAAACUUACAGACUCCUCAAUACUCUAAAAGCUAGAUGAAGUUUCUGCAGUACUGUAAAUAUAAGACUUUUUUUAAAAAAGAUGAGAAAAGCAAGAGACUCUUACAAAGUAAGACUUGCAUGCUAGACACACAAACCAGAAAUAAUCCAUUUACUCUCCCUUGACCUUUCUUGGCUAGACUAACUCAAUUAGUACCCCUAAACUACCAGACACUUGCCAAGAUAACAUAUUUGUGUUUAAUCAUUCAAAAAGUGAAAUAUUAUGUACUGUAAUGUAACACUUUUUACGGAAACCUCCAGUUGAGCAACAGUUCCAGAAAAAAUUGUGAAAUGAAGUAAAAAACUGCCCAGAACACCAUACUUCCACUCAAGUUAAUUCAAAGAAAUUAAGUUUCAGUACUAGGCAGAAAGUCAAGACCUCAUUUUCAGCAAAGUAGAAGCGGCACAUUUUUAAACGCAGCCUGUUUGGAAUAACUUCGGAAUAGCAACCAUCACUGGGAAGUUACUGAAUGCCAUCAUUCCCUGGCCAGCAACUUGUGCCACACGCAGACCUCAUGACAGAACGACGAUAAAAAUGCCAGGGCUGAUUUCUACAGCCGCUUCCAGCGCGUUGCAUCAAGCCAGGCAGCAAACCAAGUGAGGAAUGUGUCAGGGACUAUGAGAACGUUCCCAUUCCUUGUGUUUCUACGUGAAAUGCAUUUCUAGCCACACCCAUAAAGAACUUGUCUCUCCAGACAGUACACAGUGGGCACCGAUUUGCUUCCUCAAGAUUUCAGAGUGUGCAUCUAAGGACUUGGGCUGCGCGUUGUAAAGUUUCCCUCGGCAACUGCUAAAAUUAUUCACGAGGCACUGCAGCAUGGCAGCAGCUAUCAGCUCUGGAACGCUUUGGAAUGUGCACUUCUAUUAUUACAAAUCCUGGCUGCAUUAGAUUGGGUCCCACCUGCUCAUCCAUCGAUUGGCUUAGGUAAGAGUGCCUUGUUUGAAGCCUCAGCAGCUGCUGAGAAACCAGCACCACAGAGGAGCAGCAUCAAAUCUCAUGGUGAGUCACUGUGAAUGUAGGUCAGCCCAGGCUCUGCCCUGUGCUGAGCUCUCAGAGCCUUGGCUCCACCUCACCUGAAGGAGUCCCAACCCCAACAGACCCCCUCACAAAAAAUUAUGUUUGUGUUCCUUUGCCAUACAGCCCUGCCUCUUCCAUGGGGGAGUUUAGAGCAGAUGAACAAUUUCUUAGCAACUGAGCCACAACCAAGAGCUGAAAAAGGACGGGAGAGAAAACACAAACCAAAUCACCUUGCAAGUAAAAUACACAACCUGUUUGUUUAACCCAAUUUGUGCCAAAUAACAUUAUAGAUCCACUCAAUCUCAGCCACUUGAGGCUCACAAUCAAUGUUCUAAGAGCAGGAGAGGGAGGGUGAUGGAUCUGCUCUGAUUCAUACCUGGGGGAGACCCUCUCCUGCAACAGUCAGGGGUUCUACAUAAUGAGGUUGGCAGAGAGAACUGUGAAUUGAUUAUUAAUUAAACUGCUUGAUCACCUCCUUGGAAAAUGUAUGACCAAAUGUUGGUGCACAGAAAGUGAUUUACAUAAUCAAGUUUGAAUUUGACUCAUAAUACAGUACAAAACUACCUUAAUAAAUGGAAAUUUUAAAAAAUCACACUCUGACUCUUGAUACAAAAAAAAAGAGUACUUCAGUGCAAAUAAUGAGAUGGGAGGAAAUGUCCUUGGCAAGUCAAUUUGUUCCAUGCUGCUGAUGGUUCCUGUUAGUGACAAGGAUUUUUUUUUUCAAGACGGAAACAAUGGAAAACAAAUGCAAAAGCAUUUACCAGAAGGCCAGGCAAUGGCAGCUUUACCAAAAUGUCAAGUGUGCAGAAUAGAGUCAAUUUAAAAGAGAAUUAAUUAUUUAAACUGAAUUAAUGUGACUACAAUGAAGCCCUGUUAAACCAUCUCAUCCAUCCUGUUUCCAACUGUGCUACCCCUUACAGUCUAAGUGUAAAUACUGUGACCUCAAUUUUCAAACACUUCAAACAAAAACUCUCUCACCCGGUCACAGUACCAAUAUAUUGCUUUUUUAAUAUAUUUACUGCAUCUCUACCAGGAACUCACCCACAGAAUUGUGCUCACCUUCUCCACAUUCCCAACUCAUACGAAUUUGACCUCUGGGUCCCCUUUUCCCUCUUUUUCUCUUUCAUCUUCGUACUUCUUGUGUUUUCCCAGAUGCUUCAGGCAGUUUCUAUCACUGCAUUCUUCACAUCAUCCUUUGCCUGCAAAUCUGCCUGUUGCAUACAGUCCUGAUAUCUUAAUUUCAACAACUUUUCUCUUUUGUUUCAUGCAUUGUCUUGUC